AGAGAGUAGUUUAAUUUAGAAUUUCAGCUUUGGGAGUUGAUGGUGGGAGUUAAAGCCUCUUUUCUCUGA
rnacentral:tRNA from 1 species